UUUUGAUACUACUGCUUGAAGAAAAUGUAAAAUCAAAAAAGAAUAUGAAAUACGUUACAGGUUCUGUAUAAAUACUCGUAUUUCAAAUCUUUCACGUUAGUAAAACAAAAAGUUCAUUGAUGGGAACGAAGAAUUGAUUAUUCUAUGUUAUUUUCAGUACACAAAAUUCGAAAAAUGCAUAAUAAACAAGGAAGCGUGACCCUAACACAGGCAUUAAAAGCAGAAUACUCGAAUGGAAGCUGGCAGAAGAAGUACCGAAAAGAACACAAAAUUACGAAUUAUCUUUUUAAAAAAAUGCUGUAAAGCAUGUUUGCGAACUGUUUAAUCAUGUUUUAUUUUGAGUGAAUUUCAUUUAGACCAUUAUAACUUUAUUACUACUUACUUAUUUUCCUCCUCAUAUUUAUUAAAUGGCGGUCACUAAUUUUGUGACUUUUGCUCUUGUCCUUAAUGCUUACGUUCGAAUAUGUAAUGGACUUGAAUCAUUAAUCAUUUAACAACAAACUUUACAAUUAUUUUCUUUUCAAAAUUUCUAAAGAGAGUUUUUAUCAGCCUUGCUGUACGAUUAACCGA